CCUACGGGUGUGCAGCAGUGGGGAAUAUUGCACAAUGGGGGAAACCCUGAUGCAGCGACGCCGCGUGAGGGAAGAAGUAUUUCGGUAUGUAAAGCUCUAUCAGCAGGGAGGAAGUAGCGACCUUUGGAUCGCCAGACGGUACCUGAUUACGAAGCCGCGGCUAACUACGUUCCAGCAGCCGCGGUAAUACGUAGGGGGCAAGCGUUAUCCGGAUUUGCUGGGGGUAAAGGGAACGUAGACGGCAGCGCAAGUCUGAAGUGAAAUGCCGGGGCUUAACCCCGGAACUGCUUUUGAAACUGUGCAGCUAGAGUGCAGGAGAGGUAAGUGGAAUUCCUAGUGUAGCGGUGAAAUGCGUAGAUAUCAGGAGGAACACCAGUGGCGAAGGCGGCUUACUGGACUGUAACUGACGUUGAGGUUCGAAAGCGUGGGGAGCAAACAGGAUUAGAUACCCUGGUAGUC
rnacentral:rRNA from 1 species